rnacentral:lncRNA from 1 species
UCUGAAGUACCAGCUAUAAUAGAAAAGCCACCGUGGAAAGGUCUUCUUGGGGUGCCCCCGAUCGCAAUAACAGUCUGGGUGCACUGUGACAGCUUUCACUAUGCACACGGUCACUUGGAAAGGUUGAAUUUCUCCACAAGAGCUACAGAAAAAAAUGGCAGUUCAAUUGGUGGCGCACUUGCUGAGACACCUUCUCUACUUCAGGCCCUGGCUUGGUCCUCACAUCAAAGAACUCACGGUUGGUAGCUGGACAUAUGUGGAGACAGACAUGUGACAAACUAAGUGCCGCAGGGAGGGGGACCCUGGGUCCCGCUGGCCCACACUGUCCUGGGUUUGCAUGGUCACAGCUUAUGGACAGAGACUAUGGGAGCUAUGACCAAAACGCAGAGAGGGAGGUAAGGGGGUGUUCCCCGCUGUGUCAGGGCAGAGUCAGGUGUGUGACGAGCAGGGGAAGGUUCCCUGAGCUCAUAGUGAGCCUGGCUGGGGCUGGACUCUGGGGAUGGAAUUCAGACUCAGCCCUAUGACCAAGUAUUUCCUAACGGCACCAGAGACAGGUUCUCUAGCAUCUGUUAUGCAAGGCAAAUUCUCGCUUUAAGUUUCCAUUCCAUUGAUGAUCUAAAAAUAUAUACAACUUAUUCUGGAUACAGGGACCACCUUUAGGAGAUAACAGCUGUGCAGCCUCAGGGGCUAAGUCCAGCUUUCUGAUCAGGCUCAUGUGGAUGCUCCACGGGGAGUGUUGCUGGUGGCCGAGAGGCUGGCCCACCGGAACCUCUGAAGAGCAAGGCUCGCCCCACGCUUGGCACUCAUCCUCAUGCCGCAUUCUCCUGCCAGUUGUAAAGACAACACUUCUCUGGGAGUGACAACUCAUAAUUGAAGGAGGCUUAUGUAAGAUAAGAUUUGAGUUGAAGUUUCAUAGACUAGACUUUGUUUUGACAUCCUGAAAGAACAGAGUGUCAGGGAGUGGAAUGCUGUGUGAGUUGUUGAGGCAAAUGAGGAAGGCCAGUGGAAGCAGACUGCAGGCAAAUGACACCUGCAUGCCAAGCCAGGCCAAGAGAGGCUGCUGCACGUUCUAGAAGCAGAGAUUUCUUUGCCCUUGCACACAGGGAAGCAGCAGCAGGUCACGGUGCCCGUCGGGACACAGCGGGGGCCCAUGGAACCCCAAGGAACUGGCCCAUACAUGCCUCUGAUGCUCUGACUCACAGAAGGCCAUCAGCAGUGAGGAGAAAAUACAGAAUGACUUUUGGAAAGCAAUCGGCUUUUUUUUACAGUAUUGAAUUUUGGAGGCAUGACUAACAUCUGACAAGCCUAUCAUAAUAACUGAGUGGGGACUUAAAUGAGUUCAUGGUUGAAAAGAAAAAGCCAGCAGUAGCAAUAAGGACAGUAACACAGUGAAGGUUUAUCACUCUCAAAAUCAAAGAAUUAACUAAAAAAAAAAGGGAACACCAAUAUGUGUGACAACCAACAUGUGUGUUUUGGCUUCAGCAAAACGUUAUAUUAAAUCAAUGAACAACAUUUGAAUAUUACUGAUUUCAGAUUUUUUUAUACUUAAUUUACAAGUGUUUUUUAAUAGGCUCUAACUUAAAGAGUUUACACCUGGUUUCAUUUGUGCAUUUUAAAGUCAUGAUUAUGAUAAAAGUAAUUUAUAUUAAUAUUGGAGGCUCUCAAAGAAAACAUUUUCCUUUAAAAGGAGUCUGUAUAUUAGUCAUGUGUUGGGGGAGCUAAAAAGCCAAGGAGUGACAUGGUCAGAUGUAUUUUCCUGUAAUGUAAAAUGUUGCAUAAGCAAGAUGUAACUG